rnacentral:rRNA from 1 species
UGGGGGAUAUUGCGCAAUGGGGGGAACCCGUCGACGCAGCAACGCCGCGUGAAGGAAGAAGGUUUUCGGAUUGUAAACUUCUGUUCUUGGUGAAGAAAAGAAUGACGGUAGCCAAGGAGAAAGCUCCGGCUAACUACGUGCCAGCAGCCGCGGUAAUACGUAUGGUGCAAGCGUUAUCCGGAUUUACUGGGUGUAAAGGGAGCGCAGACGGCAUGGCAAGCCAGAUGUGAAAGGUGGGGGCUCAACCCCCCAAGCUGCAUUUGGAACUGUCAAGCUAGAGUAUCGGAGAGGUAAGUGGAAUUCCUAGUGUAGCGGUGAAAUGCGUAGAUAUUAGGAGGAACACCAGUGGCGAAGGCGGCUUACUGGACGAUAACUGACGUUGAGGCUCGAAAGCGUGGGGAGCAAACAGGAUUAGAUACCCUGGUAGU